AUGAAAAUCAAAACCAUAUUUUUCUGUCUCAGAGGGAAAAACCACAAGAGUAAGAAAAAUGAGGUGGAAGACUUUGAGAAACUCUCCAAUGACAAGCCUAGUCAUCACAAGGGAAGAAAAAAUGAAGGGCAUGUUUCAACAACUCAUGCUGAUGGUGGUGCCACUGCCGGCAGCAAUGUUGAUAGCAAUGAUGCAGGAGUAGUGGCUGCUGCUGUGGUGACAGCAGCUCAUGUGUCUUUGAUGAGUCAAGAUGGAAGUGCUCAUGGUGGUGAAUCCUGUGGAGAUGGUGGAGGCUAG